GGAUGACAGAUGUCGCCAUGUUGGCUCUGGUUGUUCCUGAUCAGCCACCGGCGAUGCCACAACUCCCAUCCAUCAGAUUAACAUUUCCAAUGAACCUGUCCUCCUGAGACAAACGACAUAAUCAGUCAUAAAUGCAAGCGCCCCUCAAAACAACAUAUGUACAGAGCCAAGGAGGAAAUCAGGUGACAUUAUUAUAGAGUGACAAAGCUGCACAGUGGGGAGCUCAGAUGAUUAAAUUGGACUUUGACACGGGAUGCUGCUGUUUUCAUUUUCCUUUUCCAAUCGCAGGUCAACACCGUUCUUCUUUAACAACCAACUAACCUGAAGGAAGAAAUUAAUUUAACCCAAACCAUGAUCUUUUCCAAACCAAGUGUGUUUGUGCCUAAACAUAAGCAGACCUUGGUUGAUCCAUUGUGAGUGCAACAACAUUAUAGGAAGUCAAUGCUAAGUCAGUGGAGCGCUCUUUAAAGAGGACAAACCAUGCACAUUUACAGCUCCUGCCCCUCCUGACGAGCCCACUCUGUUCUGAUUGGUCAGCUCCCGGAAGCUUCCUCUGGCUCUGCAGGGUAUGUAAACAGCUUAUUUUUCUCGUUCUUUACUCGUAAUGGCAGCUUCUCAAAUACAUCUGUACAUGUUGGAGCCCGCUUCUGAUCUCAAAUAUGAGAAUGGACGACGUGAACAACACAUGGAACAACCUUAGCAACAAAGACUACGGCUGUUUGUGAGCGUGCCUGAACAAUGUGACGUCAUCACAAUGAGGAAGUAGAGGAACAAGGUGGAUACAGGUGGCUGUGAUGAUGACUCUAGAGCCUGAGAGAAGUAAUGCCUCUAAUGCACAGUGUCCGCCAAUCCUGGGACUCACCGUAGAUGUCUGUCCUGUCGACCCAGAGGAUUCACAACAUAGCUGUACUCUCCUGAUCUCAUCCAGCUUCUGCCUGGAUGCAGGUAAAGUGUUUGUAAUGGAGUUAACAUAAGAGCAGCCUCUGUGUCGCUAUCCAUGGUGCUGACUUUGGUCCUUCUCUCCCCAAAGUCACAGUUCUCAGAAAGUUCAUAUAGUCCACGUAUAAAGUUCUCAGUUUUCUCAUCUGGUUUCUGUGUCCGCUGUUGGAACUGGGCUCUCUCAUGUAUGUCGUUCUUUUGCAGUACAAAGUACUCAUCAAACUUUUUCAAGACGACGUCAAAGUCAUUCUCACUCUCUCUCGUAGGCUUCAGCAGGGAUCGUUGCUUCCAGGUUGACCCUUCCCCUGGCUUGUCGAAGCUAAAGCUCUCUGGCGGC